UAGGGAAUCUUUUGCAAUGGGCGAAAGCCUGACGGAGCAACGCCGCGUGAGUGAUGAAGGUCUUCGGAUCGUAAAACUCUGUUAUUAGGGAAGAACAAAUGUGUAAGUAACUAUGCACGUCUUGACGGUACCUAAUCAGAAAGCCACGGCUAACUACGUGCCAGCAGCCGCGGUAAUACGUAGGUGGCAAGCGUUAUCCGGAAUUAUUGGGCGUAAAGCGCGCGUAGGCGGUUUUUUAAGUCUGAUGUGAAAGCCCGCGGCUCAACCGUGAAGGGUCUUUAGAAACUGGAAAACUUGAGUGCAGAAGAGGAAAGUGGAAUUCCGUGUGUAGCGGUGAAAUGCGCAGAGAUAUGGAGGAACACCAGUGGCGAGGGCGACUUUCUGGUCUGUAACUGACGCUGAUGUGCGAAAGCGUGGGGAUCAAACAGG
rnacentral:rRNA from 1 species